rnacentral:lncRNA from 1 species
GCAUUAGGUGUCUUUGCCAAUAUCUCUUCAGCCUUCUGAACAGCCCCAUUUAUGCCCCUGGCAGGAUCAGUAAGGAUCAACUCAGCUCCAAAAGCAAGGAGAACCAUUCUUCUCUCUAGACUCAUUGAUGCAGGCAUGGUAAUGAUCAGUCUGUAGCCCUUAGCAGCUGCCAUGAAUGCCAGCCCUAUGCCAGUGUUGCCACUCGUAGGCUCAAUCAGGACACUCUUCAGCAUUAAGAAAGAAAACCAUGUCAACACGCGAGUUCCUUUGUAAUGACAUUCACGCUAUUUUGUAAGCAAUGAACAGAAAACGGAUCAGUUGACUGUCAAUGUCUGGACUAGGUCAUUACAAGGGUUGGCAACUAAUAAUUAAAUAUCCAUUAAUGUAUCAUACCUGCCAGCAGAAAAUGAUUUUCUGAUGCAACGAAGUCUUAAGCCAAGACAUGUAUUGAUCAAUUUUCAAUAGCUAUAUAUAACAUAUCACUCAAUUUCAAAGCAAAACAACCCAACUUGGACUUAAAAUUCAUGUAUCGUAUCUGUUCAAGUAGGAUUGAAUCACCAACCUCGCCCGGCUUGAUUAGACCCUUCUCCUCUGCAUCUUUGAUCAUACUAUACCCAAUCCUACAAACAAGGGAAGAAAGACAAGAAGAAGAAUUUCAAGCUGAGCAAACCAAAAUCUCAUUAAUGAUGAUGUUCUAAAGGCCCCAUUGUUACUUGUUGAGCAAAUCCAAUUCCAGCUUUGGAUUCAGAAACACAUUUGAAGUACCCGGAAACAGAAACAUAUUAAAUUUCGACAGCAAAGGAAGAUUUUCGGCCUUGGCAACCAAAUAAACCUGAUCGUAGCCAAGUUAAUAUAUAAAGCAUACCGAUCUCAACUUUCCAACAAAGAACAACAGAAAUCUAACUAAUACCUAUCUUUGACACUUGAGCAAGGUUCCAUCAUCUCCAGCUUGGCAGCAAUACGCGCCACACAACCAUCCACAACAUUGUUGAGAUACACCAAUGGUGUUUUACCGAUAAGCUAUAUUGGACCAAGUACAAAAGAAUAUAUAAGCCAGGGCUCCCAUAUCAAAGCACCUCAAGAACAAAUUCAACAAUUUUGGAAAUGGCAAUGGAGUCAACUUACUUCAGUAACAUCUUUGGCAAUUGAACCCUUCUCCUCUGCCAUUUUUUGUUCCGGUUACUGCACAAGCAUAGAACACAUGGAGUGAUCAGCGAAAAAAAAAAACAAGCUAAAAAGGACACACCUUUACAGAAAAAAUAGCAGAUACUGCAACCAUUUGAAACAUUCACCAAAACACCAUUUAAUUUAUAAGGAAAUGAUUCAGGAACUNNNNNNNNNNNNNNNNNNNNNNNNNNNNNNNNNNNNNNNNNNNNNNNNNNNNNNNNNNNNNNNNNNNNNNNNNNNNNNNNNNNNNNNNNNNNNNNNNNNNAAUUGCGACACUCUUGCACGCACAAGACCAUGCAUUAUAAACCAAAAAAAUAUAUAGCAUCAACCCAGAAAAAAAAAGAAUUCUCUCCUCAUGGCCCAUGGGAGUGCGACGUAAAUGAAAGUUGAUCAAAAUUUAUUUAUUUCUGUUUAAAAUUUAUUUUUUUAUUUUUGAAUGGUUUUAAUGUGUUUUUUCAAAAUUAAAACUUGGAAAAAAUUAAAAAAUAUAUUAUUUUUAUAUAUUUUGAAAACAAAAAAGAUACAACACUCACGUGCACCGACAAACCCUUCACCAAAAUCCAUGAACUGAUGAACAACUAAACCUUCUAGAAUCCAGCAUCAACACAUAUAAUAUCAAAGAGUAAAAAUUGAGAAAAUCUUACAUCAAGCCUCGAGAUUCUUGAACUUUAAACAAUGUAAGUUUCCAAGCUAAAAUCUUUCUUUCAAGAAAAAACAGAGAAAUGAAAGAAAGUCAGAUAUUCGAUGGACUUCAAGGAGCCUUAAGAGAACUUACCAAGAAAUCCUUACCUCUCUAUAUAUAGAGAGAACAAGGAGAGUAGGGAGCUUCUUGCAAUGAAAGAGCAAUAGUAGCUGGCUGAUAUAUACUGAUCUUUUAGCAUAUUUUUUAUACAAAUUUAUUUUAAAUUAAUUUUUGUAAGUGUAGUUGUCAAAGGUUUAGCUUCUAGUGUGAUUGUCAAAGUGAAGCUUUUGACCUGACCAAUCUUGUCUUCGUUCGUAACAGGUAAUUCCACUCGUCUUUGUUUUUGUCCUUUCCUUCUUCUUUUUUACGUCAUUAUUGAUUAUCUUAAAUAAAAAUGGGUCUUUUAAUGGUGGACUUUUCUUUGAUGGGUGCCCUUAGCAUCAUCAAUACUAAACUUGUCCUGCACGACGGAUGGACUUGGGAUUCAUCUUCGCAGAGAAAGAAUUAUAAUGAUUAUGAAUAAAAAAGAAAAAAGAGAUUGAUUAGAUGUUUUAAGAUAUUUAUUUAUUUUUUAUAUUUUGAGAUUGUCAUAGUUCAAAUUUAUUGAUUUUUUUAAAUAUGUUUGAUAUUUUAAAAAAAUUAUUAUUAAUAUUUAAAUUGAUUUAAGAGUAUCCCUUAUUGUUGGAAAAGAAAAAAUAUAAUUACCCACUGACAGCUUAUUGUUAAUUAUCAAGAAGAUGUAUCUCCUUUGAUUACAGGAUUCGCUCUAGAGUAUUUUAUAUAUAUAUAUAUAUAUAUAUAUAUAUAUAUAUAUAUAUAUAUAUAUAUAAUUGCUUUGGUGAUAGGAUCAUUAUCAUUUUAAAUUUAUUAAAAAAAUUAAAUACAUAAAAAACCAUAUAAAAUGUAUAUAUUUAAAAUAACUUGACUUUAGCUAAUGUUUAGGCCAGGAGUGUUAAUGAAAUAUAGCAAGUCAUAUUUGGGAUUUAUAAUUUUUAUUCAGUUUAAUUUUUAAUAUUUUAUAAAUUAUAAACUCAAUUUAUCUAGAAGAAAGUUUGAAUUUGAACGAGCUAAAUAUAUCAGGCUGGAUUAAAUUUUUUAUAAAUAUUAUAAAUAUUUAUAAGUUGGAUUUAUAUUACUAAUUUUUAUGAGUUAUACUCAAUUGGAAUACCUUGCACCCACAAAAACUAUCAUUAUAAACCAAAAAAUAUACAGCAUCAAUCUAGAAAAAAAACAAUUCUCUCCUCAUGCUUCCUGUUUAAGAGUGCGGCUCAAAUGCAAGUUAAUCAAAAUUUAUUUUUUAUUUAAAAUUAAUUAUUUUUUGAUAUUUUGAAUUGUUUUGAUAUUUUAUUGUCAAAAAUAAAUAUUAAAAAAUAAAAAAUAUAUUAUUUUAAUAUAUUUUUAAAUAAAAAAUACUUUAAAAAACAAAAACAACAACAUUCACAAUCACUCCCCAAACCCUUCACCAAAAUCCAUGAACCGAUGAACAACUAAACCUUCUAGAAUCCAGCAUCAACACAUAUAACAUCAAAGAGUAAAACCUGAGAAAAGCUAUACAUCAAACCUUGAGAUUCUUGAACUUCAAAGUAUGUAACUUCCAAGCUAAAAUCUUUCCUACAAGAAAAAACAGAGAAAUGAAAGAAAGUCAGAUAUUCGAUGGACUUGAGAGAUCUUGCCAAGAAAUCCUUGUCUAUCUAUAUAUAGAGAGAGAACAAGGAAAGUAUGAAGCUUCUUGCACGAAAGAGCAAUAGUAGCUGGCUGAUCUUUUAGCAUAUUUUUUCUACAAAUUUAUUUUAAAUUAAUUUUCCUCGUCCGGCUAUUUUCAGUAUCGUUCUUGUUUAUAUAUAUAUAUAUUGUAUGUAUUUGUGAAGUGUAGUUGUCAAAGGUUUAGCUUCUAGUGUGAUUGUCAGAGUGAAGCUUUUGACCUGACCUGUCUUGUCUUUGUUCGUAACAGGUAAUUCCACUUGUCUUCGAUUUUGCCUUUUCCUUCUCUUUUUUGACGUCAUUAUUGAUUAUCUUAAAUAAAAAUGGGUCUUUUAAUGGUGGACUUUCCUCUGAUGUGUGUCCUUAGCAUCAUCAAUACUAAACUUGUCUUGCACGAGGAUAGACUUGGGAUUCAGCCGAUCAUGUUUCAGAUUUUCAGUAACAGUGACCGAUUUGGAUUGCGAUUAUUUAUGUUUUUAAAUGUUUUUUAAAAGUGUUUUUAUUUUAAAAUAUUUUAAAAUAAUCUUUUUAAUUUUUUUUUACUUUUAAUAAAAGCUUAUCAAAAUAAUUAUAAAGCAAUUAAAAAAAAUUAAUUUAAUAAAAAUAAAUAUACUUAUGAAAUCUAUUCAAACAUAGUUAUAAAUAUGAUGUAGAAUAGAUAUUUAUAAUUCAAGUCAGGUUUAAAAAAGAAAUUAAUUUAGAAUUAACACGGCCAAAACGCUAUUGGGCAAAAAUUGAAAAUUAUUUUUGUUUAAAAUUUAUUUUUUUAGGUUUUUUUUCUAGUUUUGAUGUGAUAAUAUCAAAAAUAAAUUUUAAAAAAUAAAAAAAAUAUUAUUUUAAUAUAUUUUUUAACAAAAAAAAUACUUUGAAAAGUAAGAUCUACCACAAUAACAACCACUACCUUAAUUGACAUGGUUAAAAUUUAAAAAAAUAUAUUUAAAACAAUGUUGUUAUUUAUUAUUCUAGGUUUACUUACGCAACCAAUAAAUCGAUAAACCAAAUCUUAAGUUGGGUCGGAUUUAAAUAAUUUUCUUCUCAUACAUGUUAUAUAUAUGAGAUCACAUCUAAUGACUAUCAUUAGAAGUUGAUAUGGUUUCAAUGACUAUUUUAAAGCAAAUUAAAAACUUCUGAAAUAAUUAAAUAAAACUAAAAAUUAAGUUCUGUCUCAUCCACAUCUAUAUGUGUGUGUGUUUUUGCAGACCUUGGAUUUAAAUUUUAAUAAUUAAUAUUGAUUCCCUUCAAGUAUGGCAUUAUCUCUUAAAUAGCAACUAGCAAUUAAAAACACCGUGGGCUCCGAGCCUGUUACUAUGGGCAUCCACCGAUCCCAGACUCAUCUCCGCAUAUGAAGAAUUAUAAUGAUUGUGAAUAAAAAAAGAAAAAGAAAUUGAUUUGAUGUUUAAGGAUAUUUAUUUAUUUAUUAAAUUGAUUUAAGAAUAUCCCAAUUUCUCAGAAAAUAAAAUAAAAAUUUCGUGUGGAUAUUCGCAAGUUGGACUUGUAUUACUAAUUUUUAUGAAUUAGACUUAAUUAGAACUUAUUGUUGAUGAUCAAGACGUAUCUGUUGUGGUUCUCAGGAAUCCUCUGUAGAGUGCUAUAUUAUCAUCACAGUCAGGAAUGCAUGUCACGAAGAAUUGGAUGUUGGAAACUAGCACGAUGCUUAACAGGAUUUGGAGUACACAUGAAACUGCAGAUUUUAUGGGCUAAUAAAGUGCCGUUUUAGAAAUUCAACAGACAAAUCAUCAUUUGACUGAGCUGGGAAGUAGGACAUUAGUUUGAAUUCAGCAUCAAGAAGGGAAGAGACCUUCCAUUGCUAGGUUCUCAAGCAUUUUCUGUGGAAAAGUGCUCAAGGCAUGCAUUUGAAAGAACUCUAAGAAAUGAGGGGAAAGAAACUAUAGCAUGACUCGUAUAUUCGGCUUCUAGUCCAUGGAGAAGAACAUCUUAAAAUAGAUGUUGGCAGAACAAACCAGCAAACAAUCUUCAAAGAAAGCACUUUAGCAGUUUUGAUAAGUUUAUGGUUUUCGUGUUUAGUGCAGAUCGGUGAAGACCGUGACGUACGAGUCAUUGAAUAAUGUGGCGAGGUUGAUAAAUGGAGUGUCAGCCAUUUUGUCGACUCUUCUACCUGGGAAGGCUAAUGUUCUUGAAGAUGUUCAUGGCUGCGAGCUUAGGCCUACUUUUCAUGGACCUCGAUUGCCCCGUUGGAUACAUAAGUAAUUUUCUUUUUUAACUCUAUCAGCUCUUGAUGUUUGCACAACAAAUUUAAACAAGUUCCUUCCCAACAAUUGGAUUUGUAAGCAACAAGACAUUGAUGCUAAUCUGGCAAUUUGAAUCUGUAAACCAAGAUUCUACUUUGAUGCAUCCAACCUGAGAGAACCUAGCUAGGUAGAGAUGUGUAUACGCCAGCUUUAUGAUUAUUUUUCUCAUUCAAACCUCUUCUAGCUGAGACCCGUCCUAGCCUUGACUAGACUAUGUCUCAUGAGGUUUAGCCGGGUUGGUUAUGUUUCAUAUCUGGUUAAACUAAGGAUUAGCAGGCGCAUGCAUGGGUUUUAACUUUUAACAGUGUUUGAUGUGCCGCCAUGAAGAAGGUAGACGAUGACAUGAUGUGAAAUGCAUAAAGAAGAUUCCCACAUCGAGAAAACAUAAGACGUGGGGCAAGGCAUGGGAAUAUAAAUAGGAAGCUCAAAGCAACGGGAAACAUACUUACCUGGACGGGGUCGAUGGGCGAUCAGGAAGGUCCAUGGCCUAGGUCAGUGACGUCCAUUGCACUGAGGAUGGGUGCUGGCUUAAGGUCUCCCCAAGUGGGAGAUCCUACGUCAAAAUUUGUGGCAGAGGGGGCUGCGCAAGUCGCGGCCCCUGUCCAAUUCUAAUAUCAAACAUUUUGCUAUGAGUCUUUCUAAUUUGAAGCCUCAUCUGAACUUGUUCGGCGCCGGAGAUAGUAGCUGAGGCUCCGAGCAUUGAGAGUAGAUGUUGCGUUGAUCAUAGAAACAUUGGACACUUGAAGAAAUGCGAUGCCUGAGAUAUCGAUCAGGAAUAAUUAAUUAAGACCAAAAAAGAAGUCUGUCUCAUCCACCUGCAUAUAUAUCUGUGUGUUUUUUGUGAUGUGAUAAUGUCUAACAGCUUUUCUUCUUCUUUUUUGCAGACCUUGGAUUUAAAUUUUAAUAAUGGGUGUGCUUGGAUGAAAAUAAUUUUUAAAAUAAAAAAUUAUUAAAUUCAAUGAAAAUAAAGAAAUUCAAGAUCCAAAUUGCAUAUUGGCUAGUUAACUUAAUUAACUCUUCUUUUUUUUUUUAUCGAUUUUCUUAUCUCUAGUUUCACAACACUAUGAUUAAGUUUUUAAUAACAUAAUAUACUAUCAACGGGACUUUGUUUGAUCUCACAACACUAUGAUUAAAGUUUCUUAAUCCAUCGCACAAGCCCUUUGUUAAUAUAUACAGAUACACAGAGCAGAAAAGCCUCCGCAUCAGGCUCCUAUAAGCCAUGCUCUCCACCUCAAGGCACAAAAACCAUGUUCUCCGCCUCCUUCUUCACCGAUUCGAAAAGCACGGAGGAUAGGUAACGCUCCCCAAAGCUAGGGAAGAUCGUCUGUUUACAUUAGAAAAAAUGGUAAGACGCACAGAACAAAACACCAACAAAGGCCAAGCACUAGAAGGUAUUCAGAAAGAUACGGCAUGUGCUAAACGCAAUGCUGCUAAGCUUUGCCAAAGAAUAUGGUACUUAUCAUCACUAUUACCGUGCUUGAAGAUUUUCUAUCACCUAUAAUCGUUCAAGAACAUUCAUUAUUUGAAUAGAUAAUUUCAUCAUAAAAAAUAUCAAGGGAAAUGGUUGCUAGAUUGGCAAUGAACUUUACUAUUUGGAAACAAAUUUGUUUCAUCUAAGGGAUAGCUUUGGGCAGCAGGCUCACUAGCAAGUUGCAGAUGGAUCUACUUCAAAAGGAAGAAAAUCAAACUUACAACAAUGAGUUUUCCAGCAUUUUCAGGCCUCUUUGCUAUCUCAAUGGCAGCAGCUGCAGCAGCUCCAGAUGAUAUCCCCACCUGAAAUCCAAAUGAUGCCCUCAAAAGAAUUCUUGAUUAAAGUCAAACCCAGAAAAUAUGAUCCAGUUAACAGAGUGGAGUGCUGUAGAGUUCUGGGUUCCUUCUUGCAACAAAUAUCAAAUAAUUGUAAGCUUACCAGCAAUCCUUCUUUCAAGGCAAGAAGCUUUGCAGUUUCAAUGGCUUCUUCACUUGAUAUCUGCAAAGUCAUUUAACGAUCCAGUCUCUCAGGUAGCAGUGCAGCAAGGCAAUCAAAAGGAAGAAAAAAAAAACAAACGGUAUUUUCUCUUAAAGAAUAAAUCAGAGCAUGCGACAAAGAUUAGACUUGAGGAACUUGGAUUUGUAUAUGAUGGAGUUUUAGGAAUACGUUUUGGGAAUUAUGUAAGAGAACACAGACUUACUUGAACAGUUUCAUCAAGUAAACCGACAUCCAAAACUCCAGGGAUGAAGCCAGCGCCAAUUCCCUGGAUCUUAUGUGGACCUUGGAUCCAUUCCAGAAAACAAUGAUAAUGUUAGUCCAAUCAUGAAUACAUGGAAAAGGCAGCUGUUUCAAGAGGACAGAAUCAUAUGGGACAUGUCCAAUUGUGGAAAAUGUUGUGCAAGGUUUUGAAUAUCCAUCUUAAAGGAAUGCAAGACAGAUGGCUUAGAAGUUCCAACAACUAUUGGGGAAUUAUUCAAACAUAAAACAACGUAACUCCUAAUGCAUAUACUUUUCUAAUCCGACAAAGUAAAAGUCGAAAGGAUUAGACCAGGAUCCUAUAUCCAUAGAAUCAGUGAGCUUUAUUAUUUGUUUUAGCGUAUGAAAACGGUUGGAUCCAUAGAAUCAAUGAGCUUUUGCAUAACUCUAAUCACUGUUUAAUUGGACUGUAUAGUUUGUGAUCAAGUUUACAACAUUUGAAUUGUAGGUUCUUGGAAAAGAACAAAAGCAAAUGAAUGUCCAAGAAACCAUGACUCACCAGGUUUCCCUCCAGACAGCACUGCACUUUCAACUGGUUCUACACCAUAAAUCUAAACACGAAAAGGAAAGAACAAACGCCAAGAUAAGAAACAAUAGAAAUAAUAAAGAAACUAUCAAUACCACAAAAAAAAAAAAAAGACUUCCACUCCAAGUCAAGCAAUGCGGAGAAGUAAACCUUUAUAUCAGGGUUUUGUUCCUUGAGAUACUUCCCUGCACCUGUUAUUGUUCCCCCAGUCCCUAUCCCAGAAACAAAGGCAUCAACUUUCCCACCUGACCCUUUCCAUAUCUCUGGUCCAGUUGUCUCGUAGUGAAUCUGACCAGGCAACAUCAGUAUGAUUGCAAUUCUCUCAAAUCAGUAAGUCAGAAAACGUGCGAAAUGAAAACAAAUGGCACCUUUGGGUUGGCAGGAUUUUCAAAUUGUUGCAGAAGAUAAGCAUUAGGUGUCUUUGCCAAUAUCUCUUCAGCCUUCUGAACAGCCCCCUUCAUGCCCCUGGCAGGAUCAGUAAGGAUCAACUCGGCUCCAAAAGCAAGGAGAACCAUUCUUCUCUCUAGACUCAUUGAAGCAGGCAUGGUAAUGAUCAGUCUGUAGCCCUUAGCAGCUGCCAUGAAUGCCAGCCCUAUGCCAGUGUUGCCACUCGUAGGCUCAAUCAGGACACUCUUCAGCAUUAAGAAAGAAA